GCCCCCGUAGCUCAGCUGGAUAGAGCGCAGGUUUCCUAAACCUGAUGUGGCCGUUCGAGUCGGCCCGGGGGCG
rnacentral:tRNA from 1 species